rnacentral:tRNA from 1 species
UCUUUAGCUCAGCUGGAUAGAGCAACUGCCUUCUAAGCAGUAGGCCGAGGGUUCGAGUCCCCCAAG